rnacentral:rRNA from 1 species
GUCGCACCUACUGAUUGAAUGACUCGGUGAAGCAUUAGGAUUACGUCAGUGUCUUGCUUUAUUGGAAGCACUAAUGUAAGAAUAGUUCUAAACCUCGUUAUUUAGAAGUCGGUG